AUCACGUCAUCCCAUCUGCCCAGCCGUCCCUGGGACAAGUCUCACCCCUCCGUGAGAAUCAGGGAUGGGAUGGGGGUUGUAAUAAGGUAGGAUGUGAGAUUUCUCUUUUCUGGGUUGAGGGUGGAUGAGGCUACUCAGUUUCACCACAAAGACUGCAUCAAGGUGGCUGUCUGAAAAUGUCCGCUUUUUGCCUGUCAUUGCGUGGGCAGUUUUUGCGGAGGAGCCGACACCUGAGCUGGGCUUUGAAGGCAAGAGCCAUCUAUUAAAUGGCACGAUGUGCUGGAAACAAACUCCAAGCAGGACUGGGAGAUUCACAAUCAGCUCACUAGAGAAGCCAUUGAAGAAACCGAGCCCAUCACCCUGGAGAAAACAAGACCUGGAGUGGAGUGAUUCCAUCCAUGUUGGGAUGAGCACCGAGCAGACACCAUGUGGUCGGAGAAGAAGGAAGAGGAGUGAUGCCUGCUACGAAUGGAGGUGUUUCCUUGACUUUCCAUGCCUGAGGAAUCAUGAGGUAAGGGAAUAGCUGGGUAGCAGUUAAGGAGCAACACGCUAAUGGAACGUCCUGUAAGCUGGGAUUAGUGGCUGUCAAGUGGAUGGUGCUGAGUGUUCUCAGGCUGUUUUCAUGUGUCACCAUAUUAAUCCCUGUGAUCCUUAGUCCCCCAAGUGACAGAGAAGGAAGUGUCAGAUCAGAGGAACAAAGUUGCAUGUUCAAGGCGACAAGGCCCAAUAUGUUCUCAAUGCUAAAUGAGUGGAUCAGUUAUAGAACUAGGCCCGAAAGCCAGUGUUCUACAGUCUGAGCCAAAGGCUCAGGGCCAGGUCAGGGGGAAGGUGUGAUGCAGACUUCUCAGCAGGGAGCAGGUGCUGAGAAGGUCAGUUGUGGGAGGUGGUGAUGGCAGAGCAGGAGCCUGGGAGCUGAGCAGGAGUGGGAAGGGUUGGCAGGGGAGUGUAACAGGGUAUAGUGGGGACCCCAGGAGUUGAGGAGGGCUGAAUUGGGAUGCAUGGUUCAGAAGAAAGCUUUAGCUGUUUGCAGGGAUGAGGACAUGUGGUAAGGAUGCUGAGCCUGGGCUGUGACCCAGGACCAGGCAGAAAGUGCACCAAGGGUAUUGUUUCUGGAAUCUACUCUUUCCAGCCUUUUUCUGACUCUGAGAACAGAGCCACAGAGCUUUCUGUGUCUAGAAGCCCCCUGACAUUUUUCCUAACCAUGGUGAAAUCUGUCGUUCUAGGAUGGGGGCAGUAGUGAGCUACUCCACUCAAGUCUUCCGUUCUUAACUUCUCACAGAGAUCUGUAUGAGCUUUCAGGCAGCUCAAGCUUUCACUACAUCACCCCGUCCCAGAUGUGCAUUGUCAGUUCUGGAGGUAACAGCAAGGGAGGCUCUGAGAAGAUACAGGCUGUCACAGGUCCUGUCCUUCCUGCACUUGCUGGUACCCUCCUGGUCCCUGAGGACACAGACACAGAACCCUGUCAUGUGACCGGAGAGACAGAGAACAGCAGGUGUGUAGAGCAACUACUCCCUGACCUUCCUUUGCAGAGACCCUUAGCAUGUCCUCAGCAAUGCUUUGAGGAGGUUGCUCAGUCAGUACAGAGAUUUUGGCAAGAUGGUGAACCCCGGACACUUCCAUUUUAAAGCCUGGAGUAG
rnacentral:lncRNA from 1 species